rnacentral:rRNA from 1 species
UACGGGGGGGGCAAGCGUUGUUCGGAAUUACUGGGCGUAAAGGGCGUGUAGGCGGCAAGGAAAGUCAGACGUGAAAUCUCGGGGCUUAACCUCGAAACUGCGCCUGAUACUUCCAUGCUAUGAGUGCGGAAGAGGCAACCGGAAUUCCUGGUGUAGCGGUGAAAUGCGUAGAUAUCAGGAGGAACUCCAGUGGCGAAGGCGGGUUGCUGGGCCGACACUGACGCUGAGGCGCGAAAGCUAGGGGAGCAAACGGG